AUUGAACGCUGGCGGCAGGCCUAACACAUGCAAGUCGAACGAGUGGCGGACGGGUGAGUAAUGUCUGGGAAACUGCCUGAUGGAGGGGGAUAACUACUGGAAACGGUAGCUAAUACCGCAUACCAUCAGAUGUGCCCAGAUGGGAUUAGAUAGUUGGUGGGGUAACCGCUCACCAAGGCGACGCUCCCUAGCUGGUCUGAGAGGAUGACAAGCCAAACGGGAACUGGGACACGGUCCAGACGCCGACGGGAGGCAGAAGUGGGGAAUAUUGGACAAUGGGCGCAAGCCUGAUGCAGCCAUGCCGCGGGUAUGAAGAAGGCCUGCGGGUUGUAAAGUACUUGCAGCGGGGAGGCGUUACCCGCAGAAGAAGCACCGGCUAACUCCGUGCCAGCAGCCGCGGUAAUUC
rnacentral:rRNA from 1 species